AUUGAACGCUGGCGGCAGGCCUAACACAUGCAAGUCGAGCGAGCGGCGGACGGGUGAGCAAUGUAUGGGGACUGCCCGAUAGAGGGGGAUAACUACUGGAAACGGUAGCUAAUACCGCAUACUAUCGGAUAACCCAUAGGGGAUUAGCUAGUAGGUGCGGUAAUGGCGCACCUAGGCGACGAUCCCUAGCUGGUCUGAGAGGAUGAGCAGCAACACUGGGAAUGAGACACGGCCCAGACUCAUACGGAGGCAGCAGUGGGUAAUAUUGCACAAUGGGCGCAAGCCUGAUGCAGCCAGGCCGCGUGUAUGGAGAAGGCCCUAGGGUUGGAAAGUACUUUCAGUCGGGAGGCGUUACCGACAGAAGAAGCACCGGCUAACUCCGUGCCAGCAGCCGCGGUAAUAC
rnacentral:rRNA from 1 species